rnacentral:rRNA from 1 species
AUUGAACGCUGGCGGCAGGCCUAACACAUGCAAGUCGAGCGGAUGAUGGGAGCUUGCUCCUGGAUUCAGCGGCGGACGGGUGAGUAAUGCCUAGGAAUCUGCCUGGUAGUGGGGGACAACGUUUCGAAAGGAACGCUAAUACCGCAUACGUCCUACGGGAGAAAGCAGGGGACCUUCGGGCCUUGCGCUAUCAGAUGAGCCUAGGUCGGAUUAGCUUGUUGGUGAGGUAAUGGCUCACCAAGGCGACGAUCCGUAACUGGUCUGAGAGGAUGAUCAGUCACACUGGAACUGAGACACGGUCCAGACUCCUACGGGAGGCAGCAGUGGGGAAUAUUGGACAAUGGGCGAAAGCCUGAUCCAGCCAUGCCGCGUGUGUGAAGAAGGUCUUCGGAUUGUAAAGCACUUUAAGUUGGGAGGAAGGGUUGUAGAUUAAUACUCUGCAAUUUUGACGUUACCGACAGAAUAAGCACCGGCUAACUCUGUGCAGCCGCCGCCGUAUAC